AACUUUCAACAACGGAUCUCUUGGCUCUUGCAUCGAUGAAGAACGCAGCGAAAUGCGAUAAGUAAUGUGAAUUGCAGAAUCCAGUGAAUCAUCGAAUCUUUGAACGCACCUUGCGCCCUUUGGUAUUCCGAGGGGCAUGCCUGUUUGAGAGUCA
rnacentral:rRNA from 1 species